rnacentral:rRNA from 1 species
AUGGGCGCAAGCCUGAUGCAGCAACGCCGCGUGAGGGACGACGGCCUUCGGGUUGUAAACCUCUUUUAGCAGGGAAGAAGCGAAAGUGACGGUACCUGCAGAAAAAGCACCGGCUAACUACGUGCCAGCAGCCGCGGUAAUACGUAGGGUGCAAGCGUUGUCCGGAAUUAUUGGGCGUAAAGAGCUCGUAGGCGGUCUGUCGCGUCUGCUGUGAAAACCCGAGGCUCAACCUCGGGCCUGCAGUGGGUACGGGCAGACUAGAGUGCGGUAGGGGAGAUUGGAAUUCCUGGUGUAGCGGUGGAAUGCGCAGAUAUCAGGAGGAACACCGAUGGCGAAGGCAGAUCUCUGGGCCGUAACUGACGCUGAGGAGCGAAAGCGUGGGGAGCGAACAGGAUUAGAUACCCUGGUAGUCCACGCCGUAAACGUUGGGAACUAGGUGUGGGGUCCAUUCCACGGAUUCCGUGUCGCAGCUAACGCAUUAAGUUCCCCGCCUGGGGA